GACGAAUGCUGGCUGCGUGCUUAACACAUGCAAGUCUACGAGAAAGAGGUAGCAAUAUCUUGAUUAAAGUGGCGCACGGGUGAGUAACACGUAAGCAAUCUACCCUUAGAUCUGGAAUAACUUCGAGAAAUCGAGGCUAAUACCGGAUAAUGCAGCGGCACCGCAUGGUGAUGUUGUUAAAAUUUCGAUGUCUAAGGAUGGGCUUGCGUCUGAUUAGCUAGUUGGUGAGGUAACGGCCCACCAAGGCUGCGAUCAGUAGCUGGUCUGAGAGGAUGAUCAGCCACACUGGAACUGAGACACGGUCCAGACUCCUACGGGAGGCAGCAGUGAGGAAUAUUGGGCAAUGCCCGCAAGGGUGACCCAGCAACGCCGCGUGGAGGAUGAAUGCCGUAAGGUUGUAAACUCCUGUUAGAGGGGAAGAAUAAUUCCGAUUGCAUCGGAACUUGACUGUACCCUCAGAGAAAGCCCCGGCUAACUACGUGCCAGCCGCCGCGGUAACAC
rnacentral:rRNA from 1 species